rfam:Brassica oleracea var. oleracea cultivar TO1000 chromosome C1, whole genome shotgun sequence
AAGCCAUGAUGUGGGCAUUGAGACCAAUAGCCCUUGAACCUCUCCCAUGCUUCACUAAAUCN